rnacentral:rRNA from 1 species
AACGAACGCUGGCGGCAGGCUUAACACAUGCAAGUCGAGGGGUAGAACACUUCGGUGUUUGAGACCGGCGCACGGGUGCGUAACGCGUAUGCAAUCUACCUUGUACAGGGGAAUAGCCCAGAGAAAUUUGGAUUAAUGCCCCAUAGUAUAUAACCUUCGCAUGUUGGUUAUAUUAAAGUUCCAACGGUACAAGAUGAGCAUGCGUCCCAUUAGUUAGUUGGUAAGGUAACGGCUUACCAAGACGAUGAUGGGUAGGGGUCCUGAGAGGGAGAUCCCCCACACUGGUACUGAGACACGGACCAGACUCCUACGGGAGGCAGCAGUGAGGAAUAUUGGUCAAUGGGCGCAAGCCUGAACCAGCCAUGCCGCGUGCAGGAAGACGGUCCUAUGGAUUGUAAACUGCUUUUAUACAGGAAGAAACAACUCUACGUGUAGAGUCUUGACGGUACUGUAGGAAUAAGGAUCGGCUAACUCCGUGCCAGCCGCCGCAGUAAGAC